GCCCUUCAGGCCUAACACAUGCAAGUCGAGCGGGCCCUUCGGGGUCAGCGGCGGACGGGUGAGUAACGCGUGGGAACGUGCCUUCUGGUCUGGAAUAACCCUGGGAAACUAGGGCUAAUACCGGAUACGCCCUUUUGGGGAAAGGUUUACUGCCGGAAGAUCGGCCCGCGUCUGAUUAGCUAGUUGGUGGGGUAACGGCCUACAAAGGCGACGAUCAGUAGCUGGUCUGAGAGGAUGAUCAGCCACACUGGGACUGAGACACGGCCCAGACUCCUACGGGAGGCAGCAGUGGGGAAUAUUGGACAAUGGGCGCAAGCCUGAUCCAGCCAUGCCGCGUGAGUGAUGAAGGCCUUAGGGUUGUAAAGCUCUUUUAUCCGGGACGAUAAUGACGGUACCGGAGGAAUAAGCCCCGGCUAACUUCGUGCCAGCAGCCGCGGUAAUAAGGGCG
rnacentral:rRNA from 1 species